GGGGUAGGCGCCAUCCGGGCGCGAUCUUCCCGCUGGGCACGGAGCCUCUUGACGGAUCCUUCGAUGCGGCCCUGGAGGCGGGUGCGCUGGAAGCUCAGACCGCCCAUGGACCAGUGAGCAUCCUGAGCCCAGGCGAGGAGCGGCGCCAUCACCGACGACGGAGGGUCAACCCGCUCAGAGUUGAGCUUCACGUCGGUGUAGAAGCGGGGCCGCGGCAGAGCGGUGCCGUAGAACUUGC
rnacentral:misc_RNA from 1 species